rnacentral:rRNA from 1 species
UUAAGCGACUAAGCGUACACGGUGGAUGCCCUGGCAGUCAGAGGCGAUGAAGGACGUGCUAAUCUGCGAUAAGCGUCGGUAAGGUGAUAUGAACCGUUAUAACCGGCGAUUUCCGAAUGGGGAAACCCAGUGUGUUUCGACACACUAUCAUUAACUGAAUCCAUAGGUUAAUGAGGCGAACCGGGGGAACUGAAACAUCUAAGUACCCCGAGGAAAAGAAAUCAACCGAGAUUCCCCCAGUAGCGGCGAGCGAACGGGGAGCAGCCCAGAGCCUGAAUCAGUGUGUGUGUUAGUGGAAGCGUCUGGAAAGGCGUGCGAUACAGGGUGACAGCCCCGUACACAAAAAUGCACAUGCUGUGAGCUCGAUGAGUAGGGCGGGACACGUGGUAUCCUGUCUGAAUAUGGGGGGACCAUCCUCCAAGGCUAAAUACUCCUGACUGACCGAUAGUGAACCAGUACCGUGAGGGAAAGGCGAAAAGAACCCCGGCGAGGGGAGUGAAAAAGAACCUGAAACCGUGUACGUACAAGCAGUGGGAGCACGCUUAGGCGUGUGACUGCGUACCUUUUGUAUAAUGGGUCAGCGACUUAUAUUCUGUAGCAAGGUUAACCGAAUAGGGGAGCCGAAGGGAAACCGAGUCUUAACUGGGCGUUAAGUUGCAGGGUAUAGACCCGAAACCCGGUGAUCUAGCCAUGGGCAGGUUGAAGGUUGGGUAACACUAACUGGAGGACCGAACCGACUAAUGUUGAAAAAUUAGCGGAUGACUUGUGGCUGGGGGUGAAAGGCCAAUCAAACCGGGAGAUAGCUGGUUCUCCCCGAAAGCUAUUUAGGUAGCGCCUCGUGAAUUCAUCUCCGGGGGUAGAGCACUGUUUCGGCAAGGGGGUCAUCCCGACUUACCAACCCGAUGCAAACUGCGAAUACCGGAGAAUGUUAUCACGGGAGACACACGGCGGGUGCUAACGUCCGUCGUGAAGAGGGAAACAACCCAGACCGCCAGCUAAGGUCCCAAAGUCAUGGUUAAGUGGGAAACGAUGUGGGAAGGCCCAGACAGCCAGGAUGUUGGCUUAGAAGCAGCCAUCAUUUAAAGAAAGCGUAAUAGCUCACUGGUCGAGUCGGCCUGCGCGGAAGAUGUAACGGGGCUAAACCAUGCACCGAAGCUGCGGCAGCGACGCUUAUGCGUUGUUGGGUAGGGGAGCGUUCUGUAAGCCUGCGAAGGUGUGCUGUGAGGCAUGCUGGAGGUAUCAGAAGUGCGAAUGCUGACAUAAGUAACGAUAAAGCGGGUGAAAAGCCCGCUCGCCGGAAGACCAAGGGUUCCUGUCCAACGUUAAUCGGGGCAGGGUGAGUCGACCCCUAAGGCGAGGCCGAAAGGCGUAGUCGAUGGGAAACAGGUUAAUAUUCCUGUACUUGGUGUUACUGCGAAGGGGGGACGGAGAAGGCUAUGUUGGCCGGGCGACGGUUGUCCCGGUUUAAGCGUGUAGGCUGGUUUUCCAGGCAAAUCCGGAAAAUCAAGGCUGAGGCGUGAUGACGAGGCACUACGGUGCUGAAGCAACAAAUGCCCUGCUUCCAGGAAAAGCCUCUAAGCAUCAGGUAACAUCAAAUCGUACCCCAAACCGACACAGGUGGUCAGGUAGAGAAUACCAAGGCGCUUGAGAGAACUCGGGUGAAGGAACUAGGCAAAAUGGUGCCGUAACUUCGGGAGAAGGCACGCUGAUAUGUAGGUGAAGCGACUUGCUCGUGGAGCUGAAAUCAGUCGAAGAUACCAGCUGGCUGCAACUGUUUAUUAAAAACACAGCACUGUGCAAACACGAAAGUGGACGUAUACGGUGUGACGCCUGCCCGGUGCCGGAAGGUUAAUUGAUGGGGUUAGCGCAAGCGAAGCUCUUGAUCGAAGCCCCGGUAAACGGCGGCCGUAACUAUAACGGUCCUAAGGUAGCGAAAUUCCUUGUCGGGUAAGUUCCGACCUGCACGAAUGGCGUAAUGAUGGCCAGGCUGUCUCCACCCGAGACUCAGUGAAAUUGAACUCGCUGUGAAGAUGCAGUGUACCCGCGGCAAGACGGAAAGACCCCGUGAACCUUUACUAUAGCUUGACACUGAACAUUGAGCCUUGAUGUGUAGGAUAGGUGGGAGGCUUUGAAGUGUGGACGCCAGUCUGCAUGGAGCCGACCUUGAAAUACCACCCUUUAAUGUUUGAUGUUCUAACGUUGACCCGUAAUCCGGGUUGCGGACAGUGUCUGGUGGGUAGUUUGACUGGGGCGGUCUCCUCCUAAAGAGUAACGGAGGAGCACGAAGGUUGGCUAAUCCUGGUCGGACAUCAGGAGGUUAGUGCAAUGGCAUAAGCCAGCUUGACUGCGAGCGUGACGGCGCGAGCAGGUGCGAAAGCAGGUCAUAGUGAUCCGGUGGUUCUGAAUGGAAGGGCCAUCGCUCAACGGAUAAAAGGUACUCCGGGGAUAACAGGCUGAUACCGCCCAAGAGUUCAUAUCGACGGCGGUGUUUGGCACCUCGAUGUCGGCUCAUCACAUCCUGGGGCUGAAGUAGGUCCCAAGGGUAUGGCUGUUCGCCAUUUAAAGUGGUACGCGAGCUGGGUUUAGAACGUCGUGAGACAGUUCGGUCCCUAUCUGCCGUGGGCGCUGGAGAACUGAGGGGGGCUGCUCCUAGUACGAGAGGACCGGAGUGGACGCAUCACUGGUGUUCGGGUUGUCAUGCCAAUGGCACUGCCCGGUAGCUAAAUGCGGAAGAGAUAAGUGCUGAAAGCAUCUAAGCACGAAACUUGCCCCGAGAUGAGUUCUCCCUGACUCCUUGAGAGUCCUGAAGGAACGUUGAAGACGACGACGUUGAUAGGCCGGGUGUGUAAGCGCAGCGAUGCGUUGAGCUAACCGGUACUAAUGAACCGUGAGGCUUAACCU